UACAGGAGGGCGCGAGCGUUGUCCGGAAUGCACUGGGCGUAAAGGGCGCGUAGGUGGCCACUAUAAGGCCCGGCGGUGAAAGUUCGGGGCUCAACCCUGAAUCUGCCGCGGCGACUGUAGGGCUAGGGCACCGUAGAGGCAGAUGGAAUUCCGGGUGUAGCGGUGGAAUGCGUAGAUAUCGGGAGGAACACCAGUGGCGAAGGCGACUUCCUGGCCG
rnacentral:rRNA from 1 species